UACGGAGGAUUCAAGCGUUAUCCGGAUUUAUUGGGUUUAAAGGGUGCGUAGGCGGAACAUUAAGUCAGCGGUAAAAAUUCGGGGCUCAACCCCGUCCGGCCGUUGAAACUGGGGGCCUUGAGUGGGCGAGAAGUAUGCGGAAUGCGUGGUGUAGCGGUGAAAUGCAUAGAUAUCACGCAGAACUCCGAUUGCGAAGGCAGCAUACCGGCGCCCUACUGACGCUGAGGCACGAAAGCGUGGGUAUCGAACAGG
rnacentral:rRNA from 1 species